rnacentral:siRNA from 1 species
UAAGAGGUGGUGUGUUGAUUGUUU